rnacentral:rRNA from 1 species
UACGAAGGGGGCUAGCGUUGCUCGGAAUCACUGGGCGUAAAGGGUGCGUAGGCGGGUCUUUAAGUCAGGGGUGAAAUCCUGGAGCUCAACUCCAGAACUGCCUUUGAUACUGAAGAUCUUGAGUUCGGGAGAGGUGAGUGGAACUGCGAGUGUAGAGGUGAAAUUCGUAGAUAUUCGCAAGAACACCAGUGGCGAAGGCGGCUCACUGGCGAUACUGACGCUGAGGCACGAAAGCGUGGGGAGCAAACAGG